GUCCAUUCAGGGACAUCCGAUAAAAUUGGAACGAUACAAAGAAGAUUAGCAUGAUCCUACGCAAGGAUGACAGGUAUAAAUCGAGAAAUGAUCCAAAUAUAC